UACGUAGGGCGCAAGCGUUAUCCGGAAUUAUUGGGCGUAAAGAGCUCGUAGGCGGUUUGUCGCGUCUGCCGUGAAAGUCCGGGGCUCAACUCCGGAUCUGCGGUGGGGUACGGGCAGACUAGAGUGAUGUAGGGGAGACUGGAAUUCCUGGUGUAGCGGUGAAAUGCGCAGAUAUCAGGAGGAACACCGAUGGCGAAGGCAGGUCUCUGGGCCACUACUGACGCUGAGAAGCGAAAGCAUGGGGAGCGAACAGG
rnacentral:rRNA from 1 species